rnacentral:rRNA from 1 species
GAACCUUUACCAGGUCUUGACAUACUCGUGCUAUUCCUAGAGAUAGGAACGUUCUUCGGGACACGGGAUACAGGUGGUGCAUGGUUGUCGUCAGCUCGUGUCGUGAGAUGUUGGGUUAAGUCCCGCAACGAGCGCAACCCCUAUUGUUAGUUGCCAUCAUUAAGUUGGGCACUCUAACGAGACUGCCGGUGAAUAAACCGGAGGAAGGUGGGGAUGACGUCAAAUCAUCAUGCCCCUUAUGACCUGGGCUACACACGUGCUACAAUGGAUGGUACAACGAGUCGCGAGACAGUGAUGUUUAGCUAAUCUCUUAAAACCAUUCUCAGUUCGGAUCGAAGUCUGCAACUCGACUUCGUGAAGCUGGAUUCGCUAGUAAUCGCGCAUCAGCUAUGGCGCGGUGAAUACGUUCCCGGGCCUU